UACGUAGGGGGCAAGCGUUGUCCGGAUUUAUUGGGCGUAAAGAGCUCGUAGGCGGCUCGGUAAGUCAGGUGUGAAAACUCUAGGCUCAACCUAGAGACGCCACCUGAUACUGCUGUGGCUAGAGUCCGGUAGGGGAGCAUGGAAUUCCUGGUGUAGCGGUGAAAUGCGCAGAUAUCAGGAGGAACACCAGUGGCGAAGGCGGUGCUCUGGGCCGGAACUGACGCUGAGGAGCGAAAGCGUGGGGAGCAAACAGG
rnacentral:rRNA from 1 species